UUUGUGACUAUAAGUCAUUCCCUUCAAAUGCUAUUGAAGUUAGAAUCGUGUAUAACAAUGUCGUAUGUAACUUUAGAGACGGUCCCUUAAUUUCCGCAUUUCCGCGAAUAUCGAAUGUCCAACGUCAAGACCAACUUUAUUCCAGUCUGCAGCAGUGCAUAAAAUAAUGCAGAUUCUUCAAUCUCUAGAGUUUACUCAGAAUGGUGCAAUAAAGAAAAAACAUCCAUCCAGUGACAGUGAUGCGGACAGAAACGCCUUGUUUAUGAGAGCUGUCAACGAACAAUGGCCAGAAAAGCAUCUCAGAAGGCACAACUACUAUGAGCUUUUAGCUAAUAUUUCUGCCUUGUCUUUUUCUGUGAUAGCUAUUCUUCCUUCUCCUGUUAAUACCGGUAUAUUUCUGGUUUUAUACAGCCCAAUCAUCUUCUUUAACACACCUCACACAGUUCGUUCCUUCUGAUAUUCUUGACUGCCUCUGGUGUCAAUGUUAUUUUUAACACUAAAUGCUUGAUGUCUAUUUUUAAUUGUAUGAGAACAGUCUUCACUGCACCAUGGAACAACUUUCUCCCUUCCAUUUCCUUACACUUUAGGGAUAGAUUUCUCUGCUGCUCUGAUUAAUAUUGAGCUUAAUUUCUCUGUGCAAUUAUGAAGUUCUCACUGUACCUGUUGCUUUGGGUUUCGUCAACACUCACUUGCACCACCUGAUGGUGGAGACGGACUAGCAGCAGGUGGAGAUUAUGCAUCAUGCAUGGAUAUGCUUCUGCUGUUCCUGCAGUUCCCAGAUGUGCAGUGCUGAAUAUCUUACUGAAUCUUACCCACUGAAUUUGUGGAAGCGAAUUUUUAAAGCGAAAUCAAAUGGACUAAAAUUUGCCUGUCGAAUAUUAUAGGUGGUAUUUUUAAACAAACUGAGUAUUUUUUUAAUGAACUUCAGAAGGCAUAUAUUGAUUAUUGAAUUUUUCAUAAUGAAAUUGUAUGAUAAAUGUUUCCAAUUGAAAUAUUCCCAGCUUAAAUAUACAACUAUGUCAAACUGCACCCCCAAAAAAUUUAAGGCCUGGAAAUACAAUGCAUUAAAAUACAAGAACUCUUAUUACAAAGCAUUAUAUUUUCAAUUAGUGCAAUUCAACAUGCUUUUUUUUAAUUAUUUCAAAGACAUGUCAUUAUUUUACUUCCAUAUGAUAUCCCCGUCUUAACUUUGUUUGAGGUUAUAUUGUUAUUAAUGUGAUCCUGCUCCACCAAAAUCUACACUCACUCCAUAUCAGUAAAGUGCUUUUCUAUAGUCAA